rnacentral:rRNA from 1 species
UACGUAGGGUGCGAGCGUUAAUCGGAAUUACUGGGCGUAAAGCGUGCGCAGGCGGCGCGUUAAGACAGGUGUGAAAGCCCCGAGUUUAACUUGGGAAUUGCGCUUGUGACUGGCGUGCUGGAGUGUGGCAGAGGGAGGUGGAAUUCCACGUGUAGCAGUGAAAUGCGUAGAGAUGUGGAGGAACACCGAUGGCGAAGGCAGCCUCCUGGGCCAGCACUGACGCUGAGGCGCGAAAGCUAGGGUAGCAAACGGG